CUUGCUAAUGUCAUCCAAGUCUCACUAAACAUUUUGAAGAUGCUGGAAGUUAUUUUCUUUGUAAUGUAUUUAAGGACCAUGAGUGGCUCCUAGAACAAUAUCAACUCAUCUAAGCAUAACCUAAUUUUACUUAGCUAUGCUGGAACAUGGAGUGAUAAAUACAAAGACAAGGAUGAAAGGAGAAGUUGGUCAACAACCAAUCAGCUUCCAUCAUCCAGAGACUAUCUUGGUGACUCUCUAGUAUGGCAGCCUCCUAGUGGAGUUGAGAACAGUAGAGCUCUCUGGGUGGCUUUGACAUUAUGGUUGGGCUUGGUUGGAGCUGCCCUCUUCGGCCUUCAGAGAUGAAUCAUAUAUGCACAUAGUAUCGGUAUUUGUCCAUUCAUGACGCGCUCAUUCAAAAAUAUAGGUUGGUAUUACGUUCUAUAUUGUAAUUUUAAGCUUGUAUGUAUGAAGUAGAUGUAUUUCUUACAUUUCCUAUAAUUCAUGCAAUGUAAUUCUUUCAUCUUUUCUUU